AAAAGAAAAGGAAAUAACUGAGAUUAAAAAAGAAAAGGAAAUAACUGAAAUUCAAAAAGAAAAGGAAAUAACUGAGACUCAAAAAGAAAAGGAAAUAACUGAGAUUAAAAAAGAAAAGGAAAUAGCUGAGACUCAAGGUGAGAGGGAAAUAACUGAGAUUAAAAAAGAGAAGGAAAUGAGUGAGACUCAAAGUGGGGGGGCAACAACAGAGAGUGAAGUUUCUCUUGAGAAAACCAGUGUAAGUCCAGCAGGCUCUGAGAAGUCCUUCAAGGAAGGAAAGCAGGUGACAUUUAAAGAAGAAGAUGAAAUUUUUACUCCUGAAGUGGAUAAUGAAUGUGAAGAGAGAGAUUAUGAGGACAGUCUUUCUGAUAGUUCUGAUGGGACACCUACUGACUCAAAGGAAGAGGAAGGACCUGCUGGGAUUUAGGAGGACAGCACAGCAGGCGCAAACAACAGCAACAAGGCCUGAAGAUUCUGGAAUGCCCCACACCCUGACAUCAUUCAAAGUUCAUGGGCUCUGAGCCGGGAAAAGAAAUAUUUUAAAUGAACUCUGUCAUUUUGGGUCAGAAGAUGGAUCAACUAACCUUGCAGAAUAUGCCGGAAGGUUGCUAAUGACUAUAUAAGUGCUGUUUGUUGUUGGGUUUUUUUUCUUUUCUUUUUUUUUUUUUUUUUUUUUACUUUUU